UUUUCAUCAGACAAUCUGUGUGAGCACUGCAAAGUACGCUUCUUUAAGGUAAGGAGGUGAUCCAACCGCAGGUUCCCCUACGGUUACCUUGUUACGACUUCACCCCAGUCAUGAAUCACAAAGUGGUAAGCGCCCUCCCGAAGGUUAAGCUACCUACUUCUUUUGCAACCCACUCCCAUGGUGUGACGGGCGGUGUGUACAAGGCCCGGGAACGUAUUCACCGUGGCAUUCUGAUCCACGAUUACUAGCGAUUCCGACUUCAUGGAGUCGAGUUGCAGACUCCAAUCCGGACUACGACGCACUUUAUGAGGUCCGCUUGCUCUCGCGAGGUCGCUUCUCUUUGUAUGCGCCAUUGUAGCACGUGUGUAGCCCUGGUCGUAAGGGCCAUGAUGACUUGACGUCAUCCCCACCUUCCUCCAGUUUAUCACUGGCAGUCUCCUUUGAGUUCCCGGCCGGACCGCUGGCAACAAAGGAUAAGGGUUGCGCUCGUUGCGGGACUUAACCCAACAUUUCACAACACGAGCUGACGACAGCCAUGCAGCACCUGUCUCACGGUUCCCGAAGGCACAUUCUCAUCUCUGAAAACUUCCGUGGAUGUCAAGACCAGGUAAGGUUCUUCGCGUUGCAUCGAAUUAAACCACAUGCUCCACCGCUUGUGCGGGCCCCCGUCAAUUCAUUUGAGUUUUAACCUUGCGGCCGUACUCCCCAGGCGGUCUACUUAACGCGUUAGCUCCGGAAGCCACGCCUCAAGGGCACAACCUCCAAGUAGACAUCGUUUACGGCGUGGACUACCAGGGUAUCUAAUCCUGUUUGCUCCCCACGCUUUCGCACCUGAGCGUCAGUCUUUGUCCAGGGGGCCGCCUUCGCCACCGGUAUUCCUCCAGAUCUCUACGCAUUUCACNNNNNNNNNNNNNNNNNNNNCCUGGAAUUCUACCCCCCUCUACAAGACUCAAGCCUGCCAGUUUCGAAUGCAGUUCCCAGGUUGAGCCCGGGGAUUUCACAUCCGACUUGACAGACCGCCUGCGUGCGCUUUACGCCCAGUAAUUCCGAUUAACGCUUGCACCCUCCGUAUUACCGCGGCUGCUGGCACGGAGUUAGCCGGUGCUUCUUCUGCGGGUAACGUCAAUUGCUGCGGUUAUUAACCACAACACCUUCCUCCCCGCUGAAAGUACUUUACAACCCGAAGGCCUUCUUCAUACACGCGGCAUGGCUGCAUCAGGCUUGCGCCCAUUGUGCAAUAUUCCCCACUGCUGCCUCCCGUAGGAGUCUGGACCGUGUCUCAGUUCCAGUGUGGCUGGUCAUCCUCUCAGACCAGCUAGGGAUCGUCGCCUUGGUGAGCCGUUACCUCACCAACAAGCUAAUCCCAUCUGGGCACAUCUGAUGGCAAGAGGCCCGAAGGUCCCCCUCUUUGGUCUUGCGACGUUAUGCGGUAUUAGCCACCGUUUCCAGUAGUUAUCCCCCUCCAUCAGGCAGUUUCCCAGACAUUACUCACCCGUCCGCCACUCGUCAGCAAAGCAGCAAGCUGCUUCCUGUUACCGUUCGACUUGCAUGUGUUAGGCCUGCCGCCAGCGUUCAAUCUGAGCCAUGAUCAAACUCUUCAAUUUAAAAGUUUGAUGCUCAAUGAAUUAAACUUCGUAAUGAAUUACGUGUUCACUCUUGAGACUUGGUAUUCAUUUUUCGU
rnacentral:rRNA from 1 species